UCUUUAUGGAUUUGCCUGCACAACGGUUACAAGGACAGCACCAUGUCUGAAAGUGAAGCGGUGAGAAGUUACUAAAUUCGUUAAUGGAGGACGAUGGAGAUAGACGUUGGACAGUAAAGGCAAGAACACGAUAUAGGGACACUAGAAAAUAUGUAAAACUCAAAGAGCCGUGCUUUUUGGAGUUUGUCA